AGAGUUUGAUCAUGGCUCAGGACGAACGCUGGCGGCGUGCUUAACACAUGCAAGUCGAGCGGAAAGGCUCCUUCGGGGGUACUCGAGCGGCGAACGGGUGAGUAACACGUGAGUAAUCUGCCCCUGGCUUUGGGAUAGCCACCGGAAACGGUGAUUAAUACCGGAUAUGACCACUUCUCGCAUGGGUUGUGGUGGAAAGUUUUUCGGCCAGGGAUGUGCUCGCGGCCUAUCAGCUUGAUGGUGAGGUAAUGGCUCACCAUGGCUUCGACGGGUAGCCGGCCUGAGAGGGUGACCGGUCACACUGGGACUGAGACACGGCCCAGACUCCUACGGGAGGCAGCAGUGGGGAAUAUUGGACAAUGGGCGGAAGCCUGAUCCAGCAACGCCGCGUGAGGGAUGACGGCCUUCGGGUUGUAAACCUCUUUCACCCAUGACGAAGCGCAAGUGACGGUAGUGGGAGAAGAAGCACCGGCCAACUACGUGCCAGCAGCCGCGGUAAUACGUAGGGUGCGAGCGUUGUCCGGAAUUAUUGGGCGUAAAGGGCUCGUAGGCGGUUUGUCGCGUCGGGAGUGAAAACCAGGUGCUUAACACCUGGCUUGCUUUCGAUACGGGCAGACUAGAGGUAUUCAGGGGAGAACGGAAUUCCUGGUGUAGCGGUGAAAUGCGCAGAUAUCAGGAGGAACACCGGUGGCGAAGGCGGUUCUCUGGGAAUGACCUGACGCUGAGGAGCGAAAGUGUGGGGAGCGAACAGGAUUAGAUACCCUGGUAGUCCACACCGUAAACGUUGGGCGCUAGGUGUGGGGUCCAUUCCACGGAUUCCGUGCCGCAGCUAACGCAUUAAGCGCCCCGCCUGGGGAGUACGGCCGCAAGGCUAAAACUCAAAGGAAUUGACGG
rnacentral:rRNA from 1 species